GAUGAACGCUGGCGGCGUGCCUAAUACAUGCAAGUCGAGCGAAUGGAUUAAGAGCUUGCUCUUAUGAAGUUAGCGGCGGACGGGUGAGUGACACGUGGGUAACCUGCCCAUAAGACUGGGAUAACUCCGGGAAACCGGGGCUAAUACCGGAUAACAUUUUGAACCGCAUGGUUCGAAAUUGAAAGGCGGCUUCGGCUGUCACUUAGGGAUGGACCCGCGUCGCAUUCGCUAGUUGGGGAGGUAACGGCUCACCAAGGCAACGAUGCGUAGCCGACCGGAGGGGUUGAUCGGCCACACAGGGACUGAGACACGUCCCAGACUCCUACGGGAGGCAGCAGUAGGGAAUCUUCCUCAAUGGACGAAAGUCUGACGGAGCAACGCCGCGUGAGUGAUUAAGGCUUUCGGGUCGUAAAACUCUGUUGUUAGGGAAGAACAAGUGCUAGUUGAAUAAGCUGGCACCUUGACGGUACCUAACCAGAAAGCCACGGCUAACUACGUGCCAGCAGCCGCCGUAA
rnacentral:rRNA from 1 species